AUACGGCCAUAUUGCGUUCAAAUGCCGAUUCACGUAGGAUCACCGAAGUUAAGCAGCGUUGGGCUGAGUUAAUAGCGAGAUGGGUGACCGCUUGGGAACACCAGUUGCUGUAA